rnacentral:misc_RNA from 1 species
AAGUCGUAACAAGGUUUCCGUAGGUGAACCUGCGGAAGGAUCAUUACCGUAUCACCAAAAAAACAGCAAAGGUUUUUCACCUUUUGUCUGAGUUUGAAAUGUGAAUCGAUUGACAAGAGCUGUGCUCUGCGCCACUCCUUUGAUGGAGUGUGCCUCGAUGUUGCGGUGACCCUUCUUCUGCUUCGACAUUUUUUUGUUGGAAAAGGAGGAGGAGCGCCGCAACUGCAAGCACGGCGCCUGUGGUUUUUUUUCCCAACCCCCCCUUUUCUAAACCAAAAGGGGGAAAAAGAAAAGAAAGCACAGUUGUAUAAGAACACUUGUGUGUUAUGGUGUGCAUAUUUUUUAAACAACAAAUCGCAACAAGAUUUAUAAACAUUUGUAAGAAUGAGAAACAACUGGCAACGGUGGAUCUCUAGGCUCGUUA